CCAGAAAGAGAUCAGACUGGAAAGGGAAACCAGAGGUUAGCAAAGCAAGUCACCUCAUCAGCUCCACCUCCACUGCAGGCUGCCAGCCAGCAGUCACUGCGGAUUCUCCCCGGCCUCUCUGGAAGGAGCCAUGGGAGGGAGACCUGCAGGCCUUCUCUGGAAGCAGGCUCACCUUGUCUCAGUCUGCUCGCUGACUAAAUGUCUCCUAAGGACUUGCACGAGAGAGCCCAUAAAAUCUUCACCAUCUCAACCAAAGCAAGAGGAAAACACUGGAGCCCCCUGUCUCUUGGAUCCUAAUUUACUUUGUUCUCCCUACAUUGCUAGGAGACGGGAACCAUCAGUCCUCUUUUAUAAUCUGGAGCCCCGAGUAGUGGAAAGGGUGAGUAGUACAGCCAAAGGCACGCAGCAAGUCAGACUGAACCGAAGCAGACCCACAGGGCCCGGGUCUCAGGCCCAGUUCUGGGCUUUGGUUGUACAGGUCAGUGGGGUGUGGCCUCUGGGUAAGUGGUCUCAGUGGAACACAGAGACAUAAAAUCAUUAAACCUGUCAUUACAAGGCAGGCAACUGAUGUCCCAGUAGAAAGGUUUUCCAGUCUUGGGAAGGAUCUAUAUUGCUGUGUGUGUGUGUGUGUGUGUGUGUGUGUACAUGCGUGCAUGUGCAUGUGCGUGUGCGUGUGUGUGUGUGUGUUUGGAAGGUAGUCAGGGGAGAAGGGAUGGCACUAAACCACUGUCAUCGGGUCAGGGUAUGUGUGCUCUACACAUAGACACAAACCCAAGAGCUCCCCACCAGUGUCAAUGCACCUCCCUUUCUAGCUUCUCUCGGCUCUCCUGGUUUUUCUUCCUCUACCAUUCUUUUGAGAGAUCGUAAACUCUAACUUCAGGAGCAAUGCUAAUAGACUCCCCAGAGUCAUUGCCAAGGACUGCACUGCCUAAGACUGAAUAGCUGCUGAGCCUCUGCUACCGGAGCAACCAGCACCCACAGCCGCGCACACGGAACAGCUCAGCUCAGGGCCGCCAGUCUGCUGACCUUUCUCAGAGACAGGCUUCAGGGACACUCAUUUCGGACUCUCACGAAAGGAUGCCCCUUUGUUUCCUGUAAAAGCAAGAGAAUGGAAUGGACUUGAUUUCAAAAGACACUUUGAGUCAUAAGUAUCUACAGAUGUACCGGUUACCCCUGGGGGCUGCUGUGCACACGUGGAUGUGUAGCGUUCUGCCAGGUGCCACCCUCAAGGGCUCAGAGUGGGCAGAGCUGGACUGGGCAGAGGUGGAAUCAGUAACUGAUGUAUGUAACAUAUGUGUAAAUAUAUAUAUGAUCACACACACAUAUUCCAUAAACGCACACACCCAAUAACAGAAUAAAUGAUACCAAGACUCAAUCUCAAAAGAUGCAGAAAAAAAUACAGCACAUCCUUUUCGGAGAGAGACACUCAAGGAUGUCUACCAGACACUCCAAAUACACACCUUAGCUAAAAGUGAAAGAUGAACAAAGACAUCCAAGUUCAAAACUUCUAUUUGACAUUGUUCUGCAGGUUCUAGCUGGGGCAAGAAAAAUAAACCAGCAAGUGUUGGCAGCCUGGGUUGGUGUCCCAAGCCUGUGAUCCUAAGGUAGAGGCAGGAAAAUCCAACAUCCAAGGUCAGUUCAAAGGUAACUUGCAUAAAACGAGACUUUGUUUGAAAAAAACUAAACUAGAAACCCAAGUCAAAACUUCAGCCCCCCACAAACAAAACACAAGGCCUGCUGGCAGCAGUGGGAGAAAUCGCAAUCUUUAUACAGUGCUUCACUGGCGAGAGGGUGGCUCUGAGAAACUGAACAUAGAGUUACCAUAGGACUCAAAUGCCACGCCUGGAGGGCAACCUGCUAAAUGAAAUAAACCAUUCAGAAAAGGGCAAACAAAGGCUGAGAUCCCACUUCCGGUGAAAGGAAAAAAGGGACUCUACAGAGCUACCCCCGACCUCCGAGCACACACUGCGGCAUGUGCACACCUGUACUCACAUCACAUCACACACUGCGGAUGGGGUAUGAAGCUGUUGCCGUGACAGAAAGGGAGGCGUGCUCUCCACAGACAGGAAUAAAGCUACCUCAGCUGAAGCACUCAGAAGAAUGACUGCAGAAGAGAUGCCACCCAGUGUCAGAGCCGUGGUGUGAGAAGCUUCCAGAAUAGUUGGGUAGGUCAAGCCCCGGGCAGAAUGCAGCUAAAAACUUCUACUGCAGGGGCCCGCCAAAGGGCUUUCAGGCCCCAGAGCUGUUUUUCGAGAUGAGGACGUUCUACACUGCUUAAUCACUUUAUAAAUCUCUCUUGAUUUCGGGGCAUUUUAGAGACCCAUAUGUGCCUUUUGAUUUGUUUUUUCAUAACUUAAUUACACGCUGAGGCACUACGAUAGAUACAAUCUUCAGAGCGUUUACUUUCGGAGCACUAGGCCUAACGGCUGGAGUUUACAGAUAGAACAGACACAGAAAGCCUCAGGAACGCGGAUGAACCAGAGUGUGUUGUGAGAAGGAAACCAGCCAGGAAAGACAGAGGAUGCCAGUUGCAAGGUGCCUGCGAUCAACAUCAGGAAGACAGAAACAGGCAGGGUAGGUGCCAGCAGGGAAGGAGAGUAGGCAAGGACUGCUGGACCCAUCUCAGCGCUUUCGCUCCUGCAGGAUGGAGUCUGCAGGGUUCACGUGCGGCAACAGGCUCAUGGGAGACACCGCUGACGGGGACACCACCGAGAGAUGGGGGAAGAUGCCGCCUGGAGCUCAGGCUCAUUAGCUCAGCACUUGGGGGUCAGAGUUUGAGGCCAGCCUGGGAUAUUUCGUUUCUGCCACAUUUUAACAAGAUUUAAAAUACAGCACCGAGCUAAAAGCCUGAGUUCACUUUAUUGUCCUUAUGACUGCCGUGGAAAGAAUUCUUAAGUGUGAUGACCCUGCUGAUGUGUUUAUCUUUUUAAAUAAUUUUUUUUUUUUACUUGUGAUGGAGUUAUGGAAAUAGGCCACUUGGUUUAAUUUUGUGAUUCUUUCUACUUCCUGGUUCCUCCUGAUUAUGCAAUUCUGGGGUUACAAAUGGGUAAAAAGGAAAAGUUCGUGUGCCAGCCUGGUAUUUUUCAUGGUAUUGCACUAAAGAGGAAUGAGAAAUGUUUUCAUUUACAUGAAGAUUUAAAGCAGAAUAUUUAUGUGUGCCUGUACUUGCAUAAGGUUAUGUGUACUGUGUGUGUAGGUGCCCCAGGAGGUCAAAGGUCAUAGGACGCCCUGGGACUGGAGCUCCAGCAGCCCUGAGCCACCCGAUGUGGGUACUGGGAACCCAACUCAGAUCCUCCUCAAGAGCUAUGUCUCCAGCUCCCACAUCAAGAUAAUUUUUGACAAGGUCUCCCUAUGUAAUCUGGCUGACCUUCCAUAGCCCAGGCAGGCCUAGAAGCUGAUGUGAUCCUCCUGUCUCAGCCUCCCAGGUUCUGGCAUUACAGCAGUACCACUAUACUCAGGUCGACAUAAUGUUCCCAUAAAAAAAUUCUCUUUAAGUAAAUUUGAAUCUGGGGGGAUUCACAACUAGGUAAGAUAUCUUCUCUCUUACUGUACUUCAGGCAUAUUAACUGAACUGUUAUUUUUAUUUUAUUUUUUACAAUUUAUUGCUUUUUAUUUUAUGUACAUUAGUGUUUGCCUGCCUGUAUGUCUGUGUGAGGAUAUCAGAUCCCCUAAUGAAGGAGAUCUGAACUAAAGUUACAGACAGUUGUGAGCUGCCGUGUGGGUGCUGGGAACUGAACCCAGAGCCUCUGGAAGAGCAGUCAGUGCUCUUAACUGCUGAGCCCCCUCUCCUGCCCCUUGAACUAUUUCUUCUUUCAAUAAACCUAAGAAGUCACAGAAUCCAUCUUGAGUAGCACACAAAAUCUUGCAGAGAUUCAAAAUAAUUUUUUGUCACACUGACUCCAAAAUGUAACCAUUUUCCCAAAGUACUUGAUUCAAGAGAAACUUAAAAGGACAGGUACUCAUGAGACUCGGGGCAGAAGGUGAGCUCUGGGAACAGCCACUCACUGUCACACAACAUACCAUGUGACUUCUGAGUUGCCAUCCCUGCCUUUGAACAAUAACCAUCUAUGCACUGCCGAGUGUCUUAAAGACACAGUAACAUUCGUGGUCUGUAAACUUCUUCCUAAGCCUCAUGGGUGUUCUAGUGUUAGAUUUACACGUAUUUUUAAGAUAUUUUAUUUUUAGCUAUGUGUAUGUUCUUAAAUCAGCAUGUGCACAUGUGUGCAGGUGCCUGCCAGAGGCCAGAAGAGUGCGGGAGUUACAGAACGUUGUGAACUACCUGAUGUAGGUGCUGGGAGCCAAACUUGUUUCCUCUGCAGAGAAAUAUGGACUCUUAACCAUCGAGCCGUCUCUCCAGCCCCAGAUUUAUAUAUUCUUUGAUGCUAAGAGUUGGUGACUUCCGAGUUCAAAGUUCACAGGCCACAUUGUUGCAGCACUGUUCAUCCUGUGGUUCGAGACCCCUUUGGGGGAGGGGAUCAAACGACCCUUUCACAGGGGUCACCUAAGAUCAUCAGAAAACACAGGU